AUCGAAAUAUUGUAGGUGAGGCGUGGAAUUCUAAGAUAUUAACAUGGAAUACCCAUGGGGAAGGCAGGUUACUACGUACUUAUUGACGCUGAUGACGAAAGCGUGGUAGCGAACAGGAUUAGAAUACCUGGUAGUCCACGCGUAAACGAUGAUACUAGCUGUUCGGUUUUCCGAACUGAGUGGCUAAAGCGAAAGUGAUAAAGUAUCCCACCUGGGGAGUACGUUCGCAAGAAUGAAACUCAAAGGAAUUGACGGGGGCCCGCACAAGCGGUGGAGCAUGUGGUUUAAUUUCGAUGAUACGCGAGGAACCUUACCCAGGGCUUAAAUGUAGAUUGACAGGUUUGGAAACAGACUUUUCUUCGGACAAUUUACAAGGUGCUGCAUGGUUGUCGUCAGCUCGUGCCGUGAGGUGUCAGGUUAAGUCCUAUAACGAGCGCAACCCCUAUUGUUAGUUACCAUCGCGUUAAGGCGGGGACUCUAGCAAGACUGCCGGUGCAAACCGAGAGGAAGGUGGGGAUGACGUCAAAUCAUCACGGCCCUUACGUCCUGGGCUACACACGUGCUACAAUGGCAAGUACAGAAAGCAGCUACCUGGCAACAGGAUGCGAAUCUCCAAAGCUUGUCUCAGUUCGGAUUGGAGUCUGCAACUCGACUCUAUGAAGCUGGAAUCGCUAGUAAUCGGAUAUCAGCCAUGAUCCGGUGAAUACGUUCCCGGGCCUUGUACACACCGCCCGUCAAGCCAUGGAAGCUGGGGGUACCUGAAGUCGGUGACCGCAAGGAGCUGCCUAGGGUAAAACUAGUGACGGGGGCUAAGUUGUAUAGUAGGUGCCCGUGCAGACC
rnacentral:rRNA from 1 species